CGGCGAAGGGUGAGUAACGCGUGGGUAACCUGCCCUCCAGUCCGGGAUAACCUCGCGAAAGCGGGGCUAAUACCGGAUGGUGCCCCCCCGGGGCAUCUUGGCGGGACCAAAGGGGGCGAGCGAAAGCAGCUCUCGCUGGAGGAGGGGCCUGCGUCCGAUUAGCUAGUUGGUGGGGUAAUGGCCUACCAAGGCGACGAUCGGUAGCCGGCCUGAGAGGGUGACCGGCCACACUGGGACUGAGACACGGCCCAGACUCCUACGGGAGGCAGCAGUGGGGAAUCUUGCGCAAUGGGCGAAAGCCUGACGCAGCGACGCCGCGUGGGGGAUGAAGGCCUUCGGGUUGUAAACCCCUGUCAGGUGGAACGAAUCCCCCAGGUGCCAACACUGCCUGGGGUCGACGGUACCACCAGAGGAAGCCCCGGCUAACUACGUGCCAGCAGCAGCGGUAAUACGUAGGGGGCAAGCGUUGCUCGGAUUUACUGGGCGUAAAGCGCGUGUAGGCGGCCUGGCAAGUCAGGUGUGAAAGCCCUCGGCUCAACCGAGGUUCCGCGCCUGAGACUACCUGGCUUGAGUCUGGGAGAGGAGGGUGGAAUUCCCGGUGUAGCGGUGAAAUGCGUAGAGAUCGGGAGGAACACCCGUGGCGAAGGCGGCCCUCUGGACCAGUACUGACGCUGAUGCGCGAAAGCUAGGGGAGCGAACGGGAUUAGAUACCCCGGUAGUCCUAGCCGUAAACGAUGGGCACUAGGUGUGGGAGGUAUCGACCCCUUCCGUGCCGAAGCUAACGCAUUAAGUGCCCCGCCUGGGGAGUACGGCCGCAAGGUUGAAACUCAAGGAAUUGACGGGGGCUCGCACAAGCGGUGGAGCAUGUGGUUCAAUUCG
rnacentral:rRNA from 1 species